rnacentral:tRNA from 1 species
UCUAAUAUGGCAGAAAAAUGCCUUGGAUUUAAACCCCAAUAAUGAUUAAACUUAUUUAUUCUAUUAGAA